rnacentral:lncRNA from 1 species
GUCAAGUGAUUUGGUCAAGUAAACAGAAUUGGCAAAGGGCAAGAACUAAAAUACACCACCAGGGACCAAGAACUAUAUCCAGGAGGACACAAACAUGGAUAUAACAGAGUUCCUGCCCUCUGCACCACUGAUGGGCCCCCAGGAUCCUUCCCACUGCUCAGUGCAAAGGCUGCAGGGGCAGGAGGGCUAUCGAAAUGGUGGUGACAGCACAAAGCCACUGAGCCACAACAGAGGCUGCCCUAGCUCAGGAAAUGACUAGAUGCAUAAGGAGUACUCCAAUGGGAGGAGAGCUGAGGACACUAACACCCAGUCCAGGAGGGUGUUCCUUCAGGAGCAUCUCACUCCAAGCACAACCCAACACCCCAAUUCCAACUCAAGGAGCUGCCUGACUAAAUCCUUCCACCAAAAAUUUAUCCCAGGUCAGGAGACACAAGUCUGGUCUGUCUACAGACUAUAAUGACUGGCAGACUUCAUUCUUUUCCUUUCUCACCCUUAAAGAACCUGCUCAAAUACCACCUUUUCUGGGAAGUCCUCCCUGCCUUCUAGCACCCUCCUUUCUGCACCCAUAGCCCUGGACUCAUGCUUCUCAGUAAAUUUUUUCUCCAAGUAUUUUUUAUAAGUCAGCCUCCUCUACCAGACUAUGAGCUCAUCAGAUAGCAAAUUGCCUUGGUCAUCCUGUUGUCCCCUUCAAGGCAGGCCAGAACCAGGCUCAGGCUGGGGGACCUGGCACACUUCUUUGAGCCUUAGCCCUGGAUCUG